AGCGCUGAGGCGUGGGGCUCCCACCUCCCGGCCGCUCGCUCGUUCCCGGUCCUCUCCCGGUGCGGUGGGGAGGCCUGAGCGUUCCAGGGUCUCCUCAGAACGCACGGUCUGAGGGCGACUGUGAAGAGCCUCGGGGUUGGCUAGCCCCGGGGCUGCUCGCCCUGGGCCUUUGCUAGCCUGGCCUCCGUGUGCAUGCGCUGUGGCUGAGUGCUGGGGACACCACCGCGUCUCCUCACACCACGGGCGCGUGGGGACCUGGAGAUGCCAGAGGGGAAUCCUACCACAGAUUCAUGGCAACGGGUAAAAGUAAUCAAACGUUCAAAAAAUGGGUUAGAAGGAGGUGAGAAAGAACCCCGGAGCGCAUCUGUGCAGUUCUAAUCUUACCAUUUGAUAUUAACAUGCAAGGACUGACAUAACUUAAUGCCACAUCAUGGAUGACUUGAACAACAGAAAUUUAUUUUCCCACAGUUCUGGAGGCCAGAAGUCCAGGAUCAAGGUGACAACAGGGGCAUUUUCCUCCAGGCAAACUGGGCUAAAGGACUCUGACCAAGAACUCUACAAAAGCAGGGCCUAAGGGAUUUCACAGAAGGGGCUCCCAGUGACUGCUUCCAAGGGCACCAUCAGAACCCCAACAGGGAAAGGCAAAGCCGUGGGAGGUAAGCAAAAGUCUAAACACUGAUUGGGGUACCAUAUAGCCACCAGCUGCUCCCGAUUCUGUGGAGACACAGCAACUGAAUCUGGACAGUUGAUAGUCUGUCAAGAAAACAUGGCUGACUGGAUCUGCGAGCCCACAAGAGAAGAAUGGGACUGUGUUUAAAUGCAGCAGGAGCACAGCCUGGACCUGGACCAAGACAGCAAAGCUGUGUGGAUCAGCCAAGGAGAGGAAAGCAACAUUCAGGCCAGUAAUCUUAUAUUCCCACCCAGCUCUCCUUCCCCACUAUAGCUAUUCUUCAUUAAAAAGUUUUAUAUUAAUUUUA